rnacentral:tRNA from 1 species
GGCUGCAUAGUGUAGUGGUAUCACAGUGGCCUCUGAAUCCACUAACCGCAGUUCGAAUCUGCGUGUGGCCU